rnacentral:lncRNA from 1 species
UUCUGGAGUAUUAAAAUAGUAUGAUGAGUAAAACUAUUUUUCUCUAAGUUUGUUUUGUUUCAUAAAAUAUCUAGAUACCACUCUUUGUGGCAGAUUCCCAAGAGGAUCAAGGCUGUGAAUAUUUUGCCUACGAACUAGGGUCCAGCAAAUAAGAAGCACUGAAUAGUUAUCUAAUAGAUGACAUUAUAAUUUUGUUUUGAUUAAUCUAGCAAAAAUUGACUAAGCUGGUAAAGACCAGAGCUGACAGCUGUGAAUAUGAGUCUGUAAAUAGCUAAAAUUUUUUCUAAGUAGCAGGUCAGCUUAUACGUACUACCAACUGACUCCUGAAGCCAAUGAGGGCUCCCUAUUCUGACUUUAAAUUUUUUGAACCAUA